rnacentral:lncRNA from 1 species
UGCUAUAUCUACUUUUUAUGAUUGUAGUUUGUCAUUCAAAGCUUCUUAUAAGUGCAAAACAUCACAAUACCAGUAAAAAACAUCAUCACAUUAUGCAUUCAUCAUUCAUUACAUAAUUAGUCUUUAAGAGACAGAAGACUCAUUGAUCAUUCAUUACAUAGCUAGUCUUUUAGAAACAGAAGACUCAUUAAACUCUUAAUCAUUAGCGAUACAAAACAGUUUCAAAAACUUAUUCUUCCAUCCAAGGUUUGGGUUCAAACGUUUCAUCUCAUCUUCACUUUCAUUUGAUUUGCAGCCUCUUUUUUCUCUAAUUCCAUACAGAGUUCCAAAAUUUAUGUUUCUCAGUUCAUUGAUCACUCUUUUUUUUCUCUCUUUUUCAUCUCUAGCUUCAAUCAACGCUCCUUUUGGUGACCCAUUGACUUCCCCUUCAUCGAACCAUUCAAAGCACAUGCAAUGUUCAUUGCCCAUUUCCUAUACCCAAAGAGAUACAAGAUGUAGUCACUCCAAAAAAUUUCCUAACAAAUUGUGAGUAGAAGAAUUGUGUACCUUAUACAGUUCACAACCAAAACACUUUCGACCAGGAUUCUUAUUUUUCCACGAAGUGAAAAUCUUGGCGGGCAACCCACAAUCACACAUUC